rfam:Mycobacterium triviale strain HMC_M3 PROKKA_contig000017, whole genome shotgun sequence.
CUUGAUCAGAACCACUUGGACCUUCAGAUCAUCCUCGGGAAGGUGCGCCCUUUCCUACGCCGCCUCGCCGAGACU